UCGAUCGGAGUGGUUCUCGGGUCUGGGCUUCGUAGAGCGGGUUUGAGCGGUGCAUGUGGGUCGACGAGAUGCAGAUUCAACGGUUGCAGAUGCAGCGGGGUUCGACUUGUAGCUGCGAGUAAAGUUACAGAAAGUGAAUCGACGUCAGGUGCGGUGCGGCGAAGAUGGAUUUGAUGCGGGUGCAGGAUGUGGAGACAAGGCAGUAAGAAUGGCGAUGGUGCGGUGAAUAUUUCUCACUUUGCAGCAAUGAAUCAACACUAAGAUCAUCUUCAAUUUUUGGGGUAAAGCUUAAAAAUUUAACUAUUUAAGCUAAAAAAAUUUAAGUUAUAAUCUAAAAACUGUUUUUUUCGUCCAAUCUUAAAAUUUUAAUCCGAAAUUAUUAAAUAAUAAUUUAGCCUUUUAUUAUUUAUUUUUUUGGAUAACUUUUUUGAAAAUAUGAUUUAUGUAUAUUAUCCUAAUUUAUUUUUACAAACAUUUUAAUAUAAAAAUAUUUAAAUUCCCAUAAGUAAUUAAAAAUCAUACAAAUACAUAAGUAUUUAUAAAGUUUUAAGUGAAAUUUGAUUGAAAUAAUUUUUUUUAAUUAUUUUAGAUGUUAAAUUUAAUUUUGUGCUUCAAAUUUAAUUUUUUUUACCAUUAGAUUUAAUCUCACUUAAUCAUAGUCGUUGGACUAUAAGUCAAAAAAAAAUUGAAAGGGUCCAAAAUAGUUUAAGACAGGCUUAAAUUAUGGGAGGAAUUUAGUCCAGAGAUACAUUUUCUCCCUAGGAUUUAUUUUAGCCCAAUGGUUGAUGGGGUUUUAAAACUUAUAUUUUAAGUUUUAUCUCAUGGAUUGAAGAUGGUUUAAGGGCGUGUAGUAAAUUCAGGAUUUGAUAGGAUUUUAAUAGACUUUAAAAUUCGGGUAUAGUCAAUUAAGUUUUAAAAGAGGAUUUUAAAAAACUUUGAAAUCAUGGUGUAAACUUAAGAUUUAAGAGGAUUUUUAAGAAUACAUUCAAAUCCAACGGUAGUCGAUUCAGAUUUUAAAAAGUCCUUUCAAAUCUAUAGGUAUUCAAAAUGUCAUAAAUUUUGAGGGAUUUCUUUAAGUAAAGGAUUUUGUAGGAUUUGGGAGUGAAUUUUAUGCAUAAUAAAGGCUACAAAGAAUCUCAUCUCCCCGCUAGGAUUUCUUUUCAAGCUUCAAUUUGACUAUUCUCUCCCAAGCCGAUAUAAACACCAAAUUGAACUCUGGGACCUUUCUUCUUCAUUGUGUUCUCAGGUCCCACUCUUUCUUGGUAUGCAUCUAUUAAGUGGUCAAUUUCCAUUUUUUUUUAUGGAUGGUUUUUCUGAAGAUUAUGGUUUGUGGGUUUUUCUCCUUUGAUUUCAAAAACUGUUUGUGAACAGUAUGAGGUUUUUUGUUACGUAAAAAAUAUGAAGGUUUUGUUGUUGAUUUUGUUGGGUUUGUAGCUGAUGUUGUGCUUCUGAUAUUGAAUGUGCUUUUACUGGUAAUUUUCCAUUUCUCUCUCUGUCUAGUUGUAUCGAUUCGUUCUUGUCGGGUUUUAGAAAUCAAGAUUUGUAUGUGAAUGAGAGAUGUAACUGAAAGGCAUUUCUUUGCGUGAAUGCUCUAUAUAAUUGCCCAGAAAACAUUUGACAAAAAUAGCAUAAGAGGUAGGGGAUAAGCUAUGGAUGAAAAAUGGUUGUUGUGACAGUUUGAUUAGAUUUAUGACCUAUACACAUUUAUCAUCAUUUGAUCUAUUUGACAGUCAAGAUUAAGCGAUGCAU
rnacentral:lncRNA from 1 species